GCCCGUGAUGCUUCUUUGGAGAAGCGCCACUUUUGUAAAGUGGAGAUAGUCAGUUCGAAUCUGACCACGGGCU
rnacentral:tRNA from 1 species